AAUAAAAGAAAAAAAAACUAAAAAAAACCCUGUGCUAGGGUUUUAAACCCAGGCCGCCCCAACACAAUUUCGCCUCAAGCCUUGGCCCUCCGCCGGACCUCCGAUUCGAGUGCGGCUGGGCUUCAUCGGCGAAGCUUCGAAGGUAAACCCCUCACCCUUCUUUUGUAUUAUUUCUUUUUUUUAAAUGAAAUAAAAAGAAUAAAAGCCUAUAUUAAAAAAAAUGGUUCACCUUAAAAACGUAGGUGUUUCUUUCAAUUUCCUUGUGUAUUUCUCUGUGUAUUUUCAUUAAUGCAAUCUCCGUCCCUUAUUUUACAGAUUUAAUGGCUUUUUAUAGGCUGGAAAGGAAAAAAAUAAAAUAAAUAAAUCAUAUAUUUUGCUUGUUUUUCUCCUCCGGACUCUUUGAGUCCGUAUUUGCAGGUGAAAGUGGAGCAAAUGGCGCGCGUGGGGUGGUCGACUCCGUGACGUGCGGCGCCUGGGAACUGCUGGCGGCGUCGGGGCAGACAUGCGGCUAGGGUUCCUUUUGUUUUUUGUUUUGCUUUGGGCCAGGGCUAUUUUGGGCCACUUAUUUGUUGGGUUAAUACUAUUUUCUUUUUUUGUUUUUAAACCCAGGCCGGUUGGGCCUUAUUACAUACAUUACGUAACUCACCACUGUUUUUAUCACAUAGCACUUACUGCCAAUGUAAUCCCAACUUGGACGUUCCUAACGUUAGGAACGCUUCCACUUUCAGUUUACCUAAAAGUUUCUAAAGCUUAGUCGACUGUUGAUUGAUUCAUCCAAUUUAAAACCAGAGUAGGUCCUUCCUUUAAAGUCCCCACCCCCCAACGGCCAAAACAACCCACAUUCUCAAUUCAAAACUCUAAUUAACCCUGCAGUUUUUUUUUUGGCCAUAUGAUAUAAUAACAUUGUUUCUAUUAAUAAAAACUCCAUUACAGAACAGGCAAUAUAGUGUACGAAGAGAUAAGAGAAAGCAAAAAAGUAGACAAUAACACCCAAAUACGAUGCUAAUUUAGCCUUAAAAAAUUCUAGCGGCGGUGUGGGCAAAAAGUGACCAAAUAGUUGCCGCGAGAGCAAGUAGCAAGACUGGUCGGAUCAUCGUAAGCAUAAGAAUAAGCUUUAGGACAAGCAGUCUUGAAAAUCUUCGAAUACGCCGUCGGUUUACACGACUGAGGACUGCCGAAGCUGCCGGUACAACAAUAUCUCGGUGAAUUAAAAGCGAAACAAGCGCUUUUACAAGCCACCACUUGUUUAUUAUUCCUCACUUGUAACGCGACGGGGCACAUUAAAUUCAAGUCACUAACACACCCGGCGUAGCUACAUUUACCGGCGCCUUUGAAAGGUGUAAUGGACAUAGCGAUGUUAUAGCCAUCCACCAAACUGACGUCGUAGAAAUCUUGUUGUUGGCCGAGGGUGAUUUCCGCUAACGUAGCGGGUGGGGUUCCGCCGAGCCCGUUGCAGAAUAAGGAACCGCCGCAGUCACCUGUCGCGCAACGGCCGUGACCCGAGGCGUCAAAGGAACAACCGUGUCGACCCCAGAACCGACCGGACCAUAACGGAGGUAGAUUCAUGGAGUAGGCUUUGUUUGGUGGGAGUUUGAAUCCACCGCGGGCUAAAAUUGGCUUGCCGGCGCUGGGUUGAAUCCCUGGCCAAACUGGAUGUGAGCAUUUGUUGUAGAGUGUUAUCGUCGUCGCUGUUUAAACAACAAAAUCAAUUAUUCUUAAAUGUUGUGCAAAAAUGUAUGUUUAUUUCAGUAUAUUGGAGAGUAAGAAAUUAAUUAGUACCUGAAAUAGGGAAGAAAAGAAAAGCGAAGAGAGUGAAAAUUAUGAUUGAUCUCCACAUUGUUGUUGCUUCUAUGGCUGUAAACUAUGGAAAGAGCUUGAAGUGAGUGAAAAUGAAAGCUAAC
rnacentral:lncRNA from 1 species